rnacentral:rRNA from 1 species
AGUGAACGCUGGCGGUAGGCCUAACACAUGCAAGUCGAACGGCAGCACAGUAAGAGCUUGCUCUUACGGGUGGCGAGUGGCGGACGGGUGAGGAAUACAUCGGAAUCUACUUUUUCGUGGGGGAUAACGUAGGGAAACUUACGCUAAUACCGCAUACGACCUACGGGUGAAAGCAGGGGAUCUUCGGACCUUGCGCGAUUGAAUGAGCCGAUGUCGGAUUAGCUAGUUGGCGGGGGAAAGGCCCACCAAGGCGACGAUCCGUAGCCGGUCUGAGAGGAUGAUCAGCCACACUGGAACUGAGACACGGUCCAGACUCCUACGGGAGGCAGCAGUGGGGAAUAUUGGACAAUGGGCGCAAGCCUGAUCCAGCCAUACCGCGUGGGUGAAGAAGGCCUUCGGGUUGUAAAGCCCUUUUGUUGGGAAAGAAAAGCAGCAGGUUAAUACCCCGCUGUUCUGACGGUACCCAAAGAAUAAGCACCGGCUAACUUCGUG